AUGGGCGAAGCCUGAUCCAGCCUGCCGCGUGUGUGAAGAAGGUCUUCGGAUGGUAAAGCACUUUAAGUUGGGAGAGAAAGGCAGUAAGCUAAUACCUUGCUGUUUGACGUUACCCGACAGAAUAAGCACCGGCUAACUCUGUGCCAGCAGCCGC
rnacentral:rRNA from 1 species